UACGUAGGGUGCAAGCGUUGUCCGGAAUUAUUGGGCGUAAAGAGCUCGUAGGCGGUGUGUCGCGUCGGCCGUGAAAACCUGGGGCUUAACUCUGGGCGUGCGGUCGAUACGGGCAUCACUGGAGUUCGGCAGGGGAGACUGGAAUUCCUGGUGUAGCGGUGAAAUGCGCAGAUAUCAGGAGGAACACCGGUGGCGAAGGCGGGUCUCUGGGCCGAUACUGACGCUGAGGAGCGAAAGCAUGGGUAGCGAACAGG
rnacentral:rRNA from 1 species